AGCAGCCGCGGUAAUUCCAGCUCCAAUAGCGUAUAUUAAAGUUGUUGCAGUUAAAAAGCUCGUAGUUGAAUUUCGGGGUCAAUACGUCGGUCGUGCCUUCGGUACGUACUGGUGUUAUUGAUCUCUCCCUUCUGAUGAAUCAUGAUGUCAUUAAUUUGGUGUCGUGGGGAGUCAGGACUGUUACUUUGAAAAAAUUAGAGUGUUUAAAGCAGGCUCACGCUUGAAUACAUUAGCAUGGAAUAAUGAAAUAGGACGUUCGAUCCUAUUUUGUUGGUUUCUAGGAUCAACGUAAUGAUUAAUAGGGAUAGUUGGGGGCAUUAGUAUUCAAUUGUCAGAGGUGAAAUUCUUGGAUUUAUUGAAGACUAACUACUGCGAAAGCAUUUGCCAAGGAUGUUUUCAUUAAUCAAGAACGAAAGUUAGGGGAUCGAAGACGAUCAGAUACCGUCGUAG
rnacentral:rRNA from 1 species